GCCGCAGACAGGCACGUAAACGACUAGUGUCUGUCUCUAACUGCUAUAACUGAUGUAAGAGUUAGAAUCUUGAUCCAAAUAUAUAAAACCGUGAAGGCGCUUGGAGGUGUUAAUAUUUCCUUCCGUAUCUCAAAAUAUCUGGCAUUGUUUAAGUCAAACACGCGGUAGCCUAUAUGAGAAACGCAUUAUUUCCACGCAGAAAAAAGUUUUUUUUCCUGUGUCACCAGACAGUUGUUCAUAAAUACACAGCAAACGGAAGCAGCACCUAGCAUUUCUCCUAGUGGCCUUGUUUUCGUGGCGAUGUCUACCUUCUCCCGUGCGUAAAGACGAGGAGAGGAGAUGCUGAUGCUGCUGAGGUUGCUCUUGCGUGACUACACUUUACCAGAGCUGCCGGACCAAGUGUAUGAAUGAUCAUGCCCUUCACAUGGACCAAAGAGAAACAAAUCCAAAAAGUUUUUCAAAGGAAUAAUAACAAAAGCGUUUUUCCAGAUUUUGAAAUUUCUUGAGAUUUGCCUGUGGAGACGCGGCGGGCGCGCGGGAAGAUGAUAUCACCGGGGCGCCGGGGGGCUGCGUGGCGGACGCCGCGCUUCGCGGGGACGCACCAGGUACUCGCCGUCGCCGCCGCCGCAGAUGAGGGCGCUUUCUCCCCUCGCCGAGCCCCCCGCUCGUCCUCCAUGUUGCAUAAU